AGUGGCCCUAAGCGCAAUAGAUUUGGUAGCACGGGGGUCACCUAUUGGAGAAACAUCCAUGUCCUCGUCUAUGACCACCAGUUCGACUGUGUUGGUUGCAAGAAGAAGUGCUUCACUAACAUCAGUCCACAUAGUGACCCUAAGCGUAAUCGAUUUGCAGCAUAAGGGUCACCUAUUGGAGAAAUAUCGCUGUCCUCGUCUAUGACCACCAGUUCGAUUGUGUUGGUUGCAAGAAGAAGAGCUUCACCGAUUAAACUUUGUAGGGUUGCGAUUGGUAGUUGUGAAUGCCACAGGAGAUGGUGUAUCCUGCUCCAAGGAUUUUUGAAAGAGCUCAGAGCUCAAAGCUUUCUGCCUUUGGCACAAGAUCUGGAAAACAUGGCAAAUGGGUAAGGGCCAUUUGGACCGUAGAGAAGCUCUAGAAUUUCGAGUCGAGGCCUCGAAGAAACCAGUGCACUUUGUCGGUAGCAUCAACGGGUUGUUCGAUUGCAUGGAGUUGAUCGAAGAUGGCCUUGAAGGCACAUGCGUACUCCUAAACAGAUCUGGUGCCUCUUUUCAUUAGUUGCAAAUCAUCCUUGAGAUGAAUUUCACAUGUUUGGAGCGGUGGCUGAAGGUAUUCUCUAAGGCAACCCACACUUCACUUGAAGUGGAAAGCCCCACAAGUUCUGCCAUGGCCUCCUCGGUGAGGGAGAACAACAAAAGGCUAAAGAGGUAUUGAUCGGUUUGUUUCCAUGGCACAUGUUUGAUAUUUGAUGUCUGAGAAUUUUCAGGGGCAAAAUAGGGUAGGGUUUCUAUAGUUCCAUCCACAUAGCCGAUGAGUACUUGGCUUUCUAAAAAAGGAAGCAAACAGCUUUUCCAUAGAAGAUAGCUAGAAGAGGAUAGUUUGAUUUUAACCAUGUGGAUGAAGGUAUUGAAAGGGAGAAGAUUGGAAGAGGGUUCGGCAUCUAUGGAAAGGGAGAUAGGAUCGUGUGAGGGAGGUUAAUCCGUAAAGUGCUCUGAUACCAGAGUUUUGGAAAAUCACACUACGCUUUCUAGUGGUGAGUUGAUUUCAUAUUUAUAUCCAUAUUUACAUAAUCAUAUAUGAUAUGAUUAAAAUAAAAUGGAAAUAAUACAAUUGAAUGGAAAGAAUUAAGCAAACAAGAUGUAAGUUAAAAUUAUGGAUCAAGUGAGAAUGCAAAUGGGAAGUCUUGAAUUAAGGCUAAGGAUCCUUAGCAUGAUCCUCGACAAAUGUUAUGUGUAGCAUGAGAGGUGAGAAAAAAAAUUGGUGUUUACUUCAUGUAUGGUGAAACCUCCGGUAACGAGUAACGUGACUCAAUAUUAAUAAUGAGGAUGAUUUGCUUUUUCCCAAUUUUUUUUGUAUGUACAAAUCAACAAGCAUAAGGAGAAGUGCUGAUUUCGACUUCUACCUGCAUUGGUCUUUCUAUUUUCAAAUAAAAAAACCUCCAACGUCAAGUGUCGUAAAUAUAAAGGGACUCAUUUUUUUUCUAUAAUAAGUUAAUUCACAAAACUACCCCUCAUUUCCUAUUAGUUACUAAUAUUGGCAUUAGUUUGUAAUAUUUAAAAAGUUGUGGACCACAAAGAAAUUAAAACAUUAUUUGUUUCUACCUUCUUCCUUUUUUCCUUUUUUUGGGUUUGUUUCUUCAUUUCUAUCCUUCAAGUCCCUCUAGAAUCUAGGCCCUCCCAAUAAUUUCUCGCUCAUCAUACUCACUUCCGAUCCGAGUUAACUCAUUCAUAUCUAUCUUUACAAACUGAUUUUAUUCCCGAUCAAAGAUUUGACGAUCUUUUAUUCUGGGGUUCUGUGAGCUGUCUGUAAAUUUGUCAAGAAAAUGCAACUUUGCUGAUUCUCUUCUCGAUGGAGAGAAAAAUCAGCAGAGAAAAAUCAGCAAGAGAUUUCUAAAAUCAAGCAGCUUUGGGAUGCUGAUGUUUUGAUUCAAAAAAUGGAUCUUGAGGCAAGAAGCUUGCAGCCAAGCUUGGAGGCUACACUACUUGCUAAGCUCAGAGAAUAUAAAUCCGAUCUAAAUAAGUUGAAAAGGGAAGUGAAAAAACUAGCUUUGCCUAGUUCAAACGUUCCUGGCCAUGAAGAGUUGUUAGAAUUUGGAAUGGCUGGUGCAAAUUCAGUAUACUUGUAUUCAAUUGCCCUUCUGAUUUUUUUUGUCCUUAAUAUAUAUCAUAUGUAUAUAUUGCACGGAGAAUUGCGAUUGGCUUCGACAAUGUAGCAUCAUUUAGCCCCGUAGGAAAUAAUUCAAUUAUAUCUGGUUGCACAGUAAGUGAAGACUUCUAUUUUAGCAUUAAUAAAGUCGUGUAAAGAUUAUCCUUGAGCAUUA